rnacentral:rRNA from 1 species
UACGUAGGGUGCGAGCGUUAAUCGGAAUUACUGGGCGUAAAGCGUGCGCAGGCGGUUUUGUAAGCCAGAUGUGAAAUCCCCGGGCUUAACCUGGGAAUGGCAUUUGGGACUGCAAGGCUUGAGUGCGGCAGAGGAGACUAGAAUUCCUGGUGUAGCAGUGAAAUGCGUAGAUAUCGUCAAGAACACCGAUAGUGUAGACAGCUUACUAAGCUUUAACUGACGCUGAGGCACGAAAGUGUGGGGAUCAAACAGG